GCAAAGGUAGACACUUCUUUUUUCUUUGGUACUAAAACCACCUUUGUAUGUGUCACACUCUUUGGCAGCUGGUGACCGCAGAAGAAAGACUUGACCACGCCGACUACAUAUUCUUCAAAGAUUUCCCAACAAGGUUGGUAAAAGUCUCCAGUGAAACCAUCCGGUCCGCAUGCUGAGUCCCCAUUCAGCUCCAUAACUGCUCUCUUCUCUUCCUCAUUAGAAGGCAAAG
rnacentral:lncRNA from 1 species